rnacentral:rRNA from 1 species
UGGGGAAUAUUGCACAAUGGGGGAAACCCUGAUGCAGCGACGCCGCGUGGAGGAAGAAGGUCUUCGGAUUGUAAACUCCUGUUGUUGAGGAAGAUAAUGACGGUACUCAACAAGGAAGUGACGGCUAACUACGUGCCAGCAGCCGCGGUAAAACGUAGGUCACAAGCGUUGUCCGGAAUUACUGGGUGUAAAGGGAGCGCAGGCGGGAAGACAAGUUGGAAGUGAAAUCCAUGGGCUCAACCCAUGAACUGCUUUCAAAACUGUUUUUCUUGAGUAGUGCAGAGGUAGGCGGAAUUCCCGGUGUAGCGGUGGAAUGCGUAGAUAUCGGGAGGAACACCAGUGGCGAAGGCGGCCUACUGGGCACCAACUGACGCUGAGGCUCGAAAGUGUGGGUAGCAAACAGGAUUAGAUACCCUGGUAGUCCACACCGUAAACGAUGAUUACUAGGUGUUGGAGGAUUGACCCCUUCAGUGCCGCAGUUAACACAAUAAGUAAUCCACCUGGGGAGUACGACCGCAAGGUUGAAACUCAAAGGAAUUGACGGGGGCCCGCACAAGCAGUGGAGUAUGUGGUUUAAUUCGACGCAACGCGAAGAACCUUACCAAGUCUUGACAUCCCUUGACAGACAUAGAAAUAUGUAAUCUCUUCGGAGCAAGGAGACAGGUGGUGCAUGGUUGUCGUCAGCUCGUGUCGUGAGAUGUUGGGUUAAGUCCCGCAACGAGCGCAACCCUUAUUGCCAGUUACUACGUUAAGAGGACUCUGGCGAGACUGCCGUUGACAAAACGGAGGAAGGUGGGGAUGACGUCAAAUCAUCAUGCCCUUUAUGACCUGGGCUACACACGUACUACAAUGGCGUUAAACAAAGAGAAGCAAGACCGCGAGGUGGAGCAAAACUCAAAAACAACGUCUCAGUUCAGAUUGCAGGCUGCAACUCGCCUGCAUGAAGUCGGAAUUGCUAGUAAUCGCGGAUCAGCAUGCCGCGGUGAAUACGUUCCC